GGAAGUCGUAACAAGGUUUCCGUAGGUGAACCUGCGGAAGGAUCAUUAUUGUAUAACCGAGGUGCGAGGGCUGUCGCUGACCCGAAAGGUCGUGCACGCCCGAGUGCCCUCACACACAUCCAUCUCACCCCUAUGUGCACCACCGCGUGGGUCCCCCUUUGGCUUGUUCGGAGGGGGGCUUACGUCUUCACACAAACUUUGUAUGCAGUGUAGAAUGUAUUUUUUGUUUUUGCGAUCACGCAAUCAAUACAACUUUCAACAACGGAUCUCUUGGCUCUC
rnacentral:misc_RNA from 1 species